ensembl:lncRNA
AAAUGCCCUGAUUUGAAAUAUAUGAAAUACUUCACAUUAUUAAAUUCUCAGGGAGAUAUUAAGGUCUAAAAAAAUGUAAUUUUUCUUGAAAAUUGAGGUCUAAAGAAAUUAAAAUCCCAAAAUUAUUUCCUCUCCAGUUUUUUUUUUUUUUUUUGGUUUGGGGUCAGCCAGAGGACUCAUUUAGCAAUGGUGAUGAAGUCUGGCUCCUGCACAGCUGCAGUCCCCUGCAGAAGAACCUUGGCUUCAGGCUCUCCAAAAUGCCACUCUCUUGUGCAGCUGUCCUGAGUCCAUGACUUGUGAACUUAACUGGCAGAAAUCCAGUCUUGUGAAGUCAGUACUGCUGCCAUGGGGCCCUCCCCAAGCCUGGCAGAAGUCCAGGGUUGCCUGAGGCCUGUGUUCCUGCUGGGGUAGCUCUCCUCUGAAGCUGCUGCUUCUCAAAACCAUUAAAAGUAAACCCCUUUCUAAGAGGCAUCUCUUAAGCUGUGAGGAACUCCAGUUGCUCUGCAUAUUUAUCAGCAUAUCAAAUUGCAGAUAUAUUUUAAAAAUCUUCUGCAACACGGUACGUAUCAGCCAAAAGAAUCUUUGUCCCGUUUACUGAUUUUCACCUUGAGUUCUAUUUAGUCUGAAGUUAACACAGCCACGUUUACUCUUUAGCAUUUGCCUGGUAUAUUUUUUUUCAUCUCUUCAUAAUCUAUGACAGUGUUUUAGAUUUUGCAAAUAGCAAAAUGGGAUUUCGUGUUUUUACUCAAGCCUAGGGAUUCCAGAAUUUAACCUGUUCGUGCUUAUUAUGAGGAAAUAACUUGAUCUUGCUAUAUUAUGGAUUUUACAAAUUUCUAUGUAGCUUGUUUCUUUUUUCUUUCCUGUCUUGUUGGAUCUAAAAAUUCCAUUCCCUGUUCCCAGGUAGUUUUGUAGCUGUUAAAGUCGUUGAUAUAUAUUUGCUUCCCUCUUGUCUCAUGGCAAAUGGCAAUUAUGCACUUCCCUGCUCUGUUGAACACAGGCAUAGCCAUGUGACUUUUUUUGAUCAAAUAAAUGUGAAGUGACAUGUCACCUCUAGACAAAAGCUUUAAGUCACAAUAUAUGCUGCCUCACAGUCUUUCUUUCCUUGGACACUGCAACCAGCAAUGUUCCAAAUAGUGACAUUCCACCAGCCUCACUCCCAGAUUGAGAGUGGUAUUCAAUAGGGGCCUCUAGCCAAUCUGCCAAAGGCAAAUUGCAUGGGCACAAGUAAACCUAUGUUGUUGAAAGUAAUUAAAAUUUGGGAGCUGUUAAUGCAUCAUCACCUAACCUAUCCUUACUAACAUACCCUUAACUUUAUAUAUAUUUUAAUAUAUUUUUUCAAUCAACACCUAGAAUCAAACACUACCUAUAUCCUUCCCUUGAAUAAGACAAGAUCUGGGACAAGCUUUCACUUUCUGUCCUGCCCUGCCUCCAUUCAUGUUAAAACCUAGAAUUUUAGCUGGACUUUGUUUUCAUAUGUUCAUUAGUAUUUAUUUAGACGCUUUCUGAUUGCAGGCAACUCUAGUGAUUAUAAAGGGGAUUUGCAGGUCACAAAGCCAAAGUAGUUUGCCUCAUAUCUUUAUCAGUUUAUUUGAUUUAAACAUCUUUCACUGGGCCGGGCACAGUGGCUCAGGUCUGUAGUCCCAGCACUCUGGGAGGCCAAGGUGGGAGAAUCACUUGAGACCAGGAGUUCAAAUCUAGCCUAACAAAGAACCCAUCUCUACAAUAAUUUUUAAAACCUAGCCAGGCCUGGUGGUGUGUUUUGGCUACUUAGGAGGCUGAGCU